rnacentral:misc_RNA from 1 species
UUGGAGGCAUUUGAUCUAUGGGAGAUUGUAGUUGAAGAUAAGUUAGUGGCUCCACUACCACCAAACCCUACCUUAGCACAAAUCAAGGCCCAUUCUGAAGAAAAGACCAAAAAGUUCAAAGCCAAGACACUUAUUCAAAAUUCUUUGGGAGAUUCAGUCUUCCCUAGGAUCAUGGCAUGCCAAACUGCUAAAGAAGCAUGGGACAGGCUAAAAGUUAAGUUCUAGGGAAGUGAUAAAACUAGACAGAUGCAAAUCUUGAACCUGAAAAG